UAGGGAAUCUUCGGCAAUGGGGGGAACCCUGACCGAGCAACGCCGCGUGAGUGAAGAAGGUUUUCGGAUCGUAAAGCCCUGUUGUUAAGGAAGAACGAGUGUGAGAAUGGAAAGUUCAUGCUGUGACGGUACUUAACCAGAACGGGACGGCUAACUACGUGCCAGCAGCCGCGGUAAUACGUAGGUCCCGAGCGUUGUCCGGAUUUAUUGGGCGUAAAGCGAGCGCAGGCGGUUAGAAAAGUCUGAAGUGAAAGGCAGUGGCUCAACCAUUGUAGGCUUUGGAAACUGUUUAACUUGAGUGCAGAAGGGGGGAGUGGAAUUCCAUGUGUAACGGUGAAAUGCGUAGAUAUAUGGAGGAACCCCGGUGGCGGAAGCGGCUCUCUGGUCUGUAACUGACGCUGAGUCUCGAAAGCGUGGGGGGCGAACAGG
rnacentral:rRNA from 1 species